rnacentral:rRNA from 1 species
ACGAACGUUGGCGGCGUGGAUUAGGCAUGCAAGUCGAACCGAAUGCCAUCGCUGUAGCAAUACAGUGGUGGCGGAAGUGGCGAAAGGGGCAGUAAUGCGUGGGUAAUCUACCCUGGGGACCGGGAUAGCUAUUCUAACGAGUAGGUAAUACCGGGCAACGUGAUCGAGGGGCAUCUCUUGAUCACCGGUAUGAAUUUCGCCCUGGGAGGAGCUCACGUCGUAUUAGCUAGUUGGUGAUAGGUAACGGCCCACCAAGGCAAAGAUGCGUAGCGGGUGUGAGAGCACGACCCGCGCCACUGGCACUGAGACACAUGGCCAGACACCUACGGGUGGCUGCAGUCGAGGAUCUUUGGCAAUGGGCGCAAGCCUGACCAAGCGACUGCCGCGUGUGCGAUGAAGGCCUUCGGGUUGUAAAGCACUGUCGAGGGGGAGGAAGCCGCAAGGUUGACCGAUCCCUGGAGGAAGCUCGGGCUUAAGUUCGUGCCAGCAGCCGCGGUAAGACGAACCGAGCGAACGUUGUUCGGAAUCACUGGGCUUAAAGGGCGCGUAGGCGGCUUGUCAAGUCGGUGGGGUGAAAUACUUCAGCUUAACUGGAGAAGUGCCUUCGAUGCUGGCGGGCUUGAUUGAGGGAGGUAGGGGUCUAGUGGAACUUCUGGUGGAGCGGUGAUGAAAUGCGUUGAUAUCAGAAGGAACGCCGGUGGCGAAAGCGACCGGACUGGACCUCUUCUGACGCUGAGGCGCGAAAGCUAGGGGAGCAAACGGGAUUAGAUACCCCGGUAGUCCCUAGCCCUAAACGAUGUAGGUACUAGAUUGUAGACUUAACAUGGGUUUACAGUCGAAGCAAAAGUGUGUUAAGUACCCCGCCUGGGGAGUAUGGUCGCAAGGCUAGAAACUCAAAGGAAUUGACGGGGGCUCACACAAGCGGUGGAGCAUGUGGCUUAAUUCGAGGCUACGCGAAGAACCUUAUCCUGGGCUUGACAUGUGCGAAAGCGGUAGCAAGUAGGGGACGGAAACGCACCCCAACGGUAUCCAGUCCGGAAGCUACUACAGGUUGCUGCAUGGCUGUCGUCAGCUCGUGUCGUGAGAUGUCGGGUUAAGUCCCAUAACGAGCGAAACCCUUGUUUUCCAGUUGCCAGCGAGUAACGUCGGGGACUCUGGAAAGACUGCCGGUGUUAAACCGGAGGAAGGCGGGGAUGACGUCAAGUCCCUCAUAGCCUUUAUGACCCAGGGCUGCACACGUGCUACAAUGGCACGAACAAUAGGGACACCAACCCGCGAGGGGGAGCAAAUCCCAAAAAAACGUGCCCCAGUUCAGAUCGAUAGGCUGCAACUCGCCUUCGUAUGAAGUUGGAAUCGCUAGUAAUCGCAGGUCUAGCAAUCACUGCGGUGAAUGUGUUCCUGAGCCUUGUACACACCGCCCGUCAAGCCACGAAAGGGUAGGGACAUCCGAAGUCGUCUUCACAGACGCCGAAGAUGGACUUCCUGAUUGGGACU